rnacentral:rRNA from 1 species
GGAGGUAGUGACAAUAAAUCUCAAUACGAAGCCUUUGGUUUUGUAAUUGAAUUGAGAACAAUGUACAAUCGUUAUCGAUAAACAAUUGGAGGGCAAGUCUGGUGCCAGCAGCCGCGGUAAUUCCAGCUCCAAUAGCGUAUAUUAACGUUGUUGCAGUUAAAAAGCUCGUAGUUGAAGUUUAGAUGGUUUGAAGGGGGUGUUAGUAUUCGUACUAUCUGCUCUCUUUGGAUUAUCGACUUCCAGGUAAGUAUAAUGUACCUUUCGGGGUUCGUUAUACCAGACUGGUCUUUUACUGUGAGAAAAUUAGAGUGUUUAAAGCAGACUUUAUUUAGUUUGAAUAGAUUAGCAUGGAAUAAUAAGAUUGGCUUUCAUAGUCGAUUUUUUGGUUUGUUUAUGAAAGCAAGAUUAAUAGGGACAGUUGGGGGUAUUCAUAUUCAAUAGCUAGAGGUGAAAUUCUAUGAUUUAUGGAAGAUGAACAAGUGCGAAAGCA